rnacentral:rRNA from 1 species
GGGUGAGUAACACGUGAGUAACCUGCCCUUGACUCUGGGAUAAGCGCUGGAAACGGCGUCUAAUACCGGAUACGAGCUUCAGCCGCAUGGCUAGGAGUUGGAAAGAAUUUCGGUCAAGGAUGGACUCGCGGCCUAUCAGCUAGUUGGUGAGGUAAUGGCUCACCAAGGCGACGACGGGUAGCCGGCCUGAGAGGGUGACCGGCCACACUGGGACUGAGACACGGCCCAGACUCCUACGGGAGGCAGCAGUGGGGAAUAUUGCACAAUGGGCGCAAGCCUGAUGCAGCAACGCCGCGUGAGGGAUGACGGCCUUCGGGUUGUAAACCUCUUUUAGUAGGGAAGAAGCGAAAGUGACGGUACCUGCAGAAAAAGCACCGGCUAACUACGUGCCAGCAGCCGCGGUAAUACGUAGGGUGCAAGCGUUGUCCGGAAUUAUUGGGCGUAAAGAGCUCGUAGGCGGUUUGUCGCGUCUGCUGUGAAAUCUGGGGGCUCAACCCCCAG